UGGGGAAUUUUGGACAAUGGGCGCAAGCCUGAUCCAGCCAUGCCGCGUGCGGGAAGAAGGCCUUCGGGUUGUAAACCGCUUUUGUCAGGGAAGAAAAGUUCCGGGUUAAUACCCUGGGAUGCUGACGGUACCUGAAGAAUAAGCACCGGCUAACUACGUGCCAGCAGCCGCGGUAAUACGUAGGGUGCGAGCGUUAAUCGGAAUUACUGGGCGUAAAGCGUGCGCAGGCGGUUGUGCAAGACAGAUGUGAAAUCCCCGGGCUCAACCUGGGAACUGCAUUUGUGACUGCACGACUGGAGUGCGGCAGAGGGGGAUGGAAUUCCGCGUGUAGCAGUGAAAUGCGUAGAUAUGCGGAGGAACACCGAUGGCGAAGGCAAUCCCCUGGGCCUGCACUGACGCUCA
rnacentral:rRNA from 1 species